GUUUUACAGUGGGGACAGUGAUGAAGAAAAUGAUCCUGGAGCAACUCAAGAGGUCUCUCCACUGCCUGGAAAUGCCCUGGAAGAUGGUUAUGAUGAUGUGACAGAAGCUCCUGGACCUAAAGAUGCUUCUCUUUCUGGGCAGAAUGAACAGGAAAUCAUUGGGAUCCCUCAAGAACAUGACAGAAACAAGGAUGCACGGACAGACUGGAGUCCUAAUGUGUCAGGAAGCAGGACUUCUGAGGCUGCGAGACAUUCAUCCCCUGCUCUUGAAGAUACGGG